GCUGGCUGAGGGUGAUGUUACAUGGAGCUCCAGGGGGAGCAGGGGCUGGCUGAGGGUGAUGUUACAUGGAGCUCCAGGGGGAGGGCUGGCUGAGGGUGAUGUUACAUGGAGGGCCAGGGGGAGCAGGGGCUGGCUGAGGGUGAUGUUACAUGGAGGGCCAGGGGGAGCAGGGGCUGGCUGGGGGUGAUGUUACAUGGAGCUCCAGGGGGAGCAGGGCUGGCUGAG